CUCAGCAAAACAGCGUCCUGACAUUGCUCUCACAAGCUAAGCAGAAUUAUAUUUGGUUAGUAUUGGGAUGGGAAACCACCUAAGAAAAUCCACAGUCCUGCAGAGA
rnacentral:rRNA from 1 species